rnacentral:rRNA from 1 species
GACGAACCGUGCGAACGUUAUUCGGAAUCACUGGGCUUAAAGCGCGUGUAGGCGGGACGGCACGUCGGUCGCUGAAAUCCCCCGGCUCAACCGGGGAACGGGCGCCGAUACGACCGCCCUGGAGGGGCGUGAGGGGGACCUGGAACUUCCGGUGGAGCGGUGAAAUGCGUUGAGAUCGGAAGGAACGCCCGUGGCGAAAGCGAGGUCCUGGACGCUUACUGACGCUGAGGACGCGAAAGCCAGGGGAGCGAACGGG